CCUACGGGAGGCAGCAGUGAGGAAUAUUGGUCAAUGGGCGGAAGCCUGAACCAGCCAAGUAGCGUGCGGGAUGACGGCCCUACGGGUUGUAAACCGCUUUUGUACGGGGAUAACACCCUCCACUUGUGCAUGUCUGCAGGUACCUUACGAAUAAGGGUCGGCUAACUCCGUGCCAGCAGCCGCGGUAAUACGGAGGGUCCGAGCGUUAUCCGGAUUUAUUGGGGUAAAGGGGAGCGUAGGCGGUUAUUAAAGUCAGCGGUAAAAUCGCGCGGCUCAACCGCACAUCGCAGUUGAAACUGGAAGUCUUGAGUACAGAAGAGGUAGGCGGAAUUCGUGGUGUAGCGGUGAAAUGCAUAGAUAUCACGAAGAACCCCGAUUGCGAAGGCAGCCUGC
rnacentral:rRNA from 1 species